AGUGAACGCUGGCGGUAGGCCUAACACAUGCGAGUCGAACGGCAGCAUAGUAAGAGCUUGCUCUUACGGGUGGCGAGUGGCGGACGGGUGAGGCAUACAUAGGCAUCUACUUUUUCGUGGGGGAUAACGUAGGGCAACUUACGCUAAUACCGCAUACGACCUACGGGUGAAGGCAGGGGAUCUUCGGACUUUGCGUGAUUGAAUGAGCCGAUGUCGGAUUAGCUAGUUGGCGAGGUAAAGGCACACCAAGGCGACGAUACGUAGCUGGUCUGAGAGGAUGAUCAGCCACACUGGAACUGAGACACGGUCCAGACUCCUACGGGAGGCAGCAGUAGGGAAUAUUCGGCAAUGGGCGCAAGCCUGAUCCAGCCAUGCCGCGUGGGUGAAGAAGGCCUUCGGAUUGUAAAGCCCUUUUGUUAGGAAAGAAAAACAGCAGGUUAAUACCCCGCUGUUCUGACGGUACCCAAAGAAUAAGCACCGGCUAACUUCGUG
rnacentral:rRNA from 1 species